UUCUUCAUUCCAGCCGUGCAACUCCAAGGAAAAACAAGACCAAGUUCUUCAUUUUUCCUUCAUCAAAUCUUCAUCAAACCUCUUCCAAUUCACUCCAAAUUCGAACUACACUUAACUAAACAUUUAGAGAUCCCAUUGAGCUAAGAAAAGGAGCUGCUAUCCAUGGUUUUCUUGAGCAUCUAAGGGGCCGAAAUUUCUGCCUUCAUCCUCUAAUCAAGCGCUCAAGGGGACCUUCAAGAGGAACUCGAAGUGGACGUCUAGACAUUUGUUUGAGUAUUACUCUCUUGUUGCUAUAGGGUUCGAGACCAAGGGUGCUCGUGAGUAGUACUAGAUUGUU